UAUAAUACAGCCGAGCUCCACUCGUCGUCACUCCAUCCUCAUCUCGCCGGCCGCCGCGACCGCGAGGAAACCUCCGCGUCCGCGACGCCAAGAAUAAUGUCGAACACUUAUCUCCUCCUCCAUGCCCUCCUCCCCCUCCUCCUCCUCGCCGGUGGAUCCGCCGCGGCCGGCGACCGCGACACGCUCGUGGCUCUCAGGAAGGCGUGGGGGAACCCCCCGAAGCUCGCCUCGUGGGACCCCGCCACGGCGGCGACCGACCACUGCAGCUGGCAGGGGGUGACGUGCUCUGAUGGUACCGGCGGUGGCGGGAGGGCGGUGACGGAGCUGUCCCUGCGCGACAUGAACCUUACCGGGACGGUGCCGGCGGCGGUGUGCGACCUCCCGAGCCUGACGCGGCUCGACCUCUCCGGCAACAACCUCUCCGGCGCCUUCCCCGCCGCGGCGCUGUACCGGUGCUCCAGGCUCCUGUUCCUCGACCUCGCCGAAAACUCGUUCGACGGCGCCCUCCCGCGCGACAUUGGCCGGCUUUCGCCGGCGAUGGAGCACCUCAACCUGUCGUCGAACAGCUUCGGCGGCGAGGUGCCGCCCGCGGUGGCGGCGCUCCCGGCGCUCAAGUCGCUGCUCCUCGACACCAACCAGUUCACCGGCGCGUACCCGGCGGCGGAGAUAGGCAACCUCACCUCCCUCGAGCACCUCACGCUGGCCGCCAACGCGUUCGCGCCGGCGCCGGUGCCGCGGGCGUUCGCCAAGCUCACCAAUCUCACCUAUCUUUGGAUGAGCAAGAUGAACAUGACCGGCGGGAUUCCGGAGGAGUUCUCCAGCCUCACGGAGCUGACGCUGUUCGACUUGUCGUCGAACAAGCUCAGCGGCGCCAUUCCGGCGUGGGUGUGGCGGCACCAGAAGCUCGAGUACCUCUACCUGUUCAACAACGAACUCACCGGCGAGCUGCCACGCAACGUCACGGCGGUGAAUCUGGUCGAGAUCGACUUGUCGACGAACCAGCUCGGUGGCGAGAUGCCGGAGGAUUUCGGCAACCUCAACAACCUCACUUUGCUGUUCCUUUACUUCAACCAGCUCACCGGCACGAUUCCGGCGGGCAUUGGGCUGCUCCCGAAGCUCAACGACAUCCGGCUGUUCAACAACCACCUCACCGGCGAGCUCCCGCCGGAGCUCGGGAAGCACUCGCCGGUCGGCAACAUCGAGAUCUCCAACAACAACCUCUCCGGCCGGCUCCCCGAGACGCUCUGCGCCAACGGGAAGCUCUUCGACAUUGUGGCCUUCAACAACAGUUUCUCCGGCGAGCUCCCGGCGAACCUCGGCGACUGCGUCCUGAUGAACAACCUCAUGCUCUACAACAACCGCUUCUCCGGCGACUUCCCGGAGAAGAUCUGGUCGUUCAAGAAGCUGACCACGGUGAUGAUCCAGAACAACAGCUUCACCGGAGCUCUGCCUGCCGUGAUAUCGCCCAACAUCUCGCGGAUCGAGAUGGGGAACAACAUGUUCUCCGGCUCUAUCCCGGCCUCGGCGAUCAAGCUAACCGUGUUCAAGGCGGAGAACAACCAGCUCGCCGGCGAGCUCCCGGCCGAUAUGAGCAAACUCACCGACCUCACUGAUCUGUCGGUGCCUGGUAAUCGAAUAGCUGGCUCCAUACCUGUGUCGAUCAAGCUGCUUGUGAAGCUCAAUUCGCUCAACCUGAGCGGCAACCGGAUCGCCGGCGUGAUACCGCCGGCGAGCAUAGGCACUCUCCCGGCGCUGACCAUCCUCGAUUUGUCCGGCAACCAGCUCACCGGCGACAUCCCCGCCGACCUGGGGAACCUCAACUUCAACUCGCUCAACGUGUCAUCGAACCAGCUCGCCGGCGAGGUGCCGCUCGCGCUGCAGGGCGCGGCGUACGACCGCAGCUUCCUCGGCACGCAUCUCUGCGCCAGGUCGGGCUCCGGCACGAAGCUCCCGACAUGCCCCGGCGGCGGCGGCAGCGGCGGAGGCGGCCACGACGAGCUCUCGAAGGGCCUGAUCAUCCUCUUCUCGAUGCUCGCCGGCAUUGUGCUCGUCGGCAGCGCUGGCAUCGCGUGGCUGCUCCUCCGCCGCCGCAAGGACAGCCAGGACGUGACCGACUGGAAGAUGACGCAGUUCACCCCUCUCGACUUCACCGAGUCCGACGUGCUCAGCAACAUCAAGGAGGAGAACGUCAUCGGCAGCGGCGGGUCAGGCAAGGUGUACCGCAUCCACCUCGCCUCCCGCGGCGGCGCCGGCGCCGGCAGGACAGUGGCCGUGAAGAAGAUAUGGAAUUCGAGGAAGCUGGACGCGAAGCUGGACAAGGAGUUCGAGGCGGAGGUGACGGUGCUCGGCAACAUCCGGCACAACAACAUCGUCAAGCUCCUCUGCUGCAUCUCCAGCCAGGACGCCAAGCUGCUGGUCUACGAGUACAUGGAGCACGGCAGCCUCGACCGGUGGCUGCACCACCGCGACCGCGAGGGCGCGCCGGCGCCGCUGGACUGGCCGACGAGGCUGGCCAUCGCCAUCGACGCCGCCCGGGGGCUCAGCUACAUGCACCACGACUGCGCGCAGGCCAUCGUCCACCGCGACGUCAAGUCCAGCAACAUCCUCCUCGACCCGGAGUUCCAGGCCAAGAUCGCCGACUUCGGCCUCGCCCGUAUGCUCGUCAAGUCCGGCGAGCCCGAGUCCGUCUCCGCCAUCGGCGGCACGUUCGGCUACAUGGCGCCAGAGUAUGGGUACAGCAAGAAGGUGAAUGAGAAGGUGGACGUGUACAGCUUCGGCGUGGUGCUGCUGGAGCUGACGACCGGCAAGGUCGCGAACGACGCCGGCGCCGACUUCUGCUUGGCGGAGUGGGCGUGGCGGCGGUACCAGAAGGGGCCCCCGUUCGACGACGCCGUCGACGAGAACAUCCGGGAACAGGCCAGCCUGCCUGACGUCAUGUCGGUGUUCACGCUCGGCGUGAUCUGCACGGGGGAGAACCCGCCGGCGAGGCCGUCCAUGAAGGAUGUCCUGCACCACCUCCUCCGGUGCGACCGGAUGUCCGCCCAGGGACCUGAGCAGCUGUGCCAGCUCGACUACGUCGACGGCGCCGCGCCGCUUCUGGAGGCGAAGAAAGGCAGCCGACGGAGGAGCUCGGCGUCGUCCGGCAGGUGGGACGCCGGCGGCGGCGACGACGACGACAGCGGCAACUUCGUGGUGCACGUUGUUUAGGGAAGAGGAUCGAGUGAUAUUGUCACUGACAUCGUUGUUUAGGAGGUCCGAAUGCCAGUGUACAGUAGCACUGUAGAGUACAUAAGUAGAGCUCAUCUACAAUGGAGGAGUCCUUUGCAGAGCAGUUUUGUCUGGUGACCUGGAUGACAAGCAGAAAACAUGAGCCCUUCAGAUCUCAGGUUGCAGCAGUGAAGGGACUGUUUGGUUCGAUGCCACAGUUUUAUUCAAUUGAGCAUGUACUUGAUAGACAAGUUUUGAGCAUGAUGAGCAACUGACCACAUCACCUAGUGAUGGAGGACCAAACUGGUCACAGGUAAAUUUGCAGCUUCAAGGUAGCACUUGUCAGCAAGAAUGUAACUGUGGAAGUUGCUUUUCUGAAACUUUGGGCUUCAAGCUAGUCGGAAGUUCUGCAGAAACCUGGAGAAGUUUCAGUCUUUGGAAUGGACACCAAAAAACGGGCGGCUGGACACUAGCGCUGCUGCUGCUGCUGCACGGGGAAUGAUUGUGCAUGACACAGGGAGGAAGCAAACUUGUGGUGUGAUUCGUUGUGACAAGGUGAAGUGAAGGUUUUGUCAAAGUGGGGGCAGGUUGGUAUGCAGAAAGGAACAAAUCCAUUAGUUGGAAUCAACUGAACAUUCUGAAGAAACAGUGGGAAGGAGCAUGACUAUCAGUGUGCAGAUCGUCAACAUGCUUUGGACCUAUCUCAUGCAGAUGCAGCCAUACUGGCAUCCGUUCGGUGGCCAACCAUAAUCACAAAACGUGACCUGAAUGCGAUAUUGUACAGGUUUAUGAAUGAUUACUUACUGUUCCUGUCAUGGGCAUUCGGCCAAGAGGCGAAGGCCCAGAUGCCCACAGCCUGGAGGACCAACAGUAGCAUGGAUACUGUAGCAGUAGGAUAAUUGUUGAGUUAGAAUUAAGAGAUAAGAUUGACUUAGUGGCUGGUUGGAUCUGGUGACAUUUUUAGUCCCUUUAACAUCGGAUGUUUGGAUGUUAAUUAGGAAUAUUAAAUAUAGACCGAUAACA